rnacentral:lncRNA from 10 species
CACGUUUCCCAUUGGCCGCCGUUUCCGGAAGCCCGCCCUCCCAUUUCCGGAAGCCUGGCGCAAGGUUGGUCUGCAGGUGGCCUCCAGGUGCAAAGUGGGAAGUGUGAGUCCUCAGUCUUGGGCUAUUCGGCCACGUGCCUGCCGGACAUGGGACGCUGGAGGGUCAGCAGCGUGGAGUCCUGGCCUUUUGCGUCCACGGGUGGGAAAUUGGCCAUUGCCACGGCGGGAACUGGGACUCAGGCUGCCCCCCGGCCGUUUCUCAUCCGUCCACCGGACUCGUGGGCGCUCGCACUGGCGCUGAUGUAGUUUCCUGACCUCUGACCCGUAUUGUCUCCAGAUUAAAGGUACGACAUUUGGAGGCCCCAGCGAGAAACGUCACCGGGAGAAACGUCACCGGGCGAGAGCCGGGCCCGCUGUGUGCUCCCCCGGAAGGACAGCCAGCUUGUAGGGGGGAGUGCCACCUGAAAAAAAAAUUUCCAGGUCCCCAAAGGGUGACCGUCUUCCGGAGGACAGCGGAUCGACUACCAUGUGGGUGCCCACAAAAAUUCCACCUCUGAGUCCUCAACUGCUGACCCCGGGGUCAGGUCCAGAUUUUGAACAAAUCUCGCUAGAGAUUGAACAGAGCUGCGCCUGGAUCCCGCCACAGUGAGGAGACCUGAAGACCAGAGAAAACACAGCAAGCCCCUGGAUCCUCCUGGAAUCCCCGAUCCCUCUUGCUCCCUGGCAGAGUUUUCUAGUCCCUCUUACUUGAAGCAUGUCUUUCAGAGCCCGGCACCACCCAUCUUGAGUAUCUGAUACCCCAUCAGCCUGAGUCUCUUAAAGGCCUUUAUACACAUAUGUCUACACAUAGGGAUUUGGAUGAUCUCGGGAUCCCACAUCCUCGCUGUCCCCUGUCCCCCCGCAACAUCCCCCACCAAUACCUUUCUGAAGUUUUCUAGUCCCUCCUUUUUGUUUGUGCUCCUUAAAGCCCAGCCCCAUGCCUGACUUUGGUUCCCAGUGAGCAUUGUACAUUUGUGGAUAUUAAAUCUUUGGCAAAGUCAUUUACCUGGGCUGGAAUAGGGCUCUUGGCUGAUUCUUUUUCCUAAACACCCACCCAAUGGGAGAGGCUGAUACUCAACAUGCAAACCUUGUGUUUUAUUUCUCCAGGCGAAGGGAUGUUGGAAGACAUUCUGGAAGGGGUGGGGUGUGAAGAUUUACAAAUAAUCUUUGAAUAUCUGCUUCAUGAUAGGUCUUGGAGGUGCCUUGUGGGUGUGGCUUUGGGGGGAUGGUUACGAGGAAAUUGUGGAUAUUAAGGAAGUCAGGAAAGGAAAAGAUCAGUCACAAUUCAACAAUUCAGAGAAAGCUCCUAAGGGACUUUCUGGCUGCUUGAUGCCCAGAGGCCAGGCCCUCACUUCGUAUUAAGGCUCAGGACUGUGGAUAGAGAAUUUAAAGGGGCACCAAAAAAAACAUUAAAAUAGAUAAACAUAUUUUUAAUGGAAUACCUUUAAAAAUGCAAAUCAAUGCACAAAGAAAACGCCCA